AUGUGGUUUAAUUCGAUGCAACGCGAAGAACCUUACCUGGGCUUGACAUCCCGGGAAUCCCUUGGAAACAAGGGAGUGCCCUUCGGGGAACCUGGAGACAGGUGCUGCAUGGCUGUCGUCAGCUCGUGUCGUGAGAUGUAGGGUUAAGUCCCGCAACGAGCGCAACCCUUGUCUUUAAUUGCCAUCAUUGAGUUGGGCACUUUAAAGAGACUGCCGGUGUUAAACCCGGAGGAAAGGUGGGGAUGACGUCAAGUCCUCAUGGCCUUUAUGCCCAGGGCUACACACGUGCUACAAUGGCCGGCACAAAGGGUUGCCAACCCGCGAGGGGGAGCCAAUCCCAAAAAUCCGGCCUCAGUUCGGAUUGCAGUCUGCAACUCGACUGCAUGAAGUCGGAAUCGCUAGUAAUUGCGAAUCAGCAGGUCGCGGUGAAUACGUUCCCGGGCCUU
rnacentral:rRNA from 1 species